rnacentral:tRNA from 1 species
UCCCUGGUGGUCCAGUUGUUAGGACUUGGUACUCUCACUGCCAGGGACCUGGGUUCGAUUCCUGGUUGGGAGA